GCGCUGCAUUAGCUAGUUGGUAAGGUAACGGCUUACCAAGGCAACGAUGCAUAGCCGACCUGAGAGGGUGAUCGGCCACACUGGAACUGAGACACGGUCCAGACUCCUACGGGAGGCAGCAGUAGGGAAUCUUCCGCAAUGGGCGAAAGCCUGACGGAGCAACGCCGCGUGAGUGAUGAAGGUCUUCGGAUCGUAAAACUCUGUUAUUAGGGAAGAACAUAUGUGUAAGUAACUGUGCACAUCUUGACGGUACCUAAUCAGAAAGCCACGGCUAACUACG
rnacentral:rRNA from 1 species